AUUGAACGCUGGCGGCAGGCCUAACACAUGCAAGUCGAGCGGAUGACGGGAGCUUGCUCCUUGAUUCAGCGGCGGACGGGUGAGUAAUGCCUAGGAAUCUGCCUGGUAGUGGGGGACAACGUUUCGAAAGGAACGCUAAUACCGCAUACGUCCUACGGGAGAAAGCAGGGGACCUUCGGGCCUUGCGCUAUCAGAUGAGCCUAGGUCGGAUUAGCUAGUUGGUGAGGUAAUGGCUCACCAAGGCGACGAUCCGUAACUGGUCUGAGAGGAUGAUCAGUCACACUGGAACUGAGACACGGUCCAGACUCCUACGGGAGGCAGCAGUGGGGAAUAUUGGACAAUGGGCGAAUGCCUGAUCCAGCCAUGCCGCGUGUGUGAAGAAGGUCUUCGGAUUGUAAAGCACUUUAAGUUGGGAGGAAGGGCAGUAAGUUAAUACCUUGCUGUUUUGACGUUACCGACAGAAUAAGCACCGGCUAACUCUGUGCCAGCAGCCGCCGUAAGAC
rnacentral:rRNA from 1 species